rnacentral:rRNA from 1 species
UACAGAGGGGGCAAGCGUUGUUCGGAAUUACUGGGCGUAAAAGGCUCGUAGGCGGCCAACUAAGUCGGACGUGAAAUCCCUCAGCUUAACUGGGGAACUGCGUCCGAUACUGGAUGGCUUGGAUUUGGGAGAGGGAUGCGGAAUUCCAGGUGUAGCGGUGAAAUGCAUAGAUAUCUGGAGGAACACCGGUGGCGAAGGCGGCAUCCUGGACCAAUAUUGACGCUGAGGAGCGAAAGCCAGGGGAGCAAACGGG